UACAGAGGUCUCAAGCGUUGUUCGGAUUCAUUGGGCGUAAAGGGUGCGUAGGCGGCGCGGUAAGUCGGGUGUGAAAGCUCGGAGCUCAACUCCGAAAUGGCAUUGGAAACUACCUUGCUCGAGGAUUGGAGGGGGGACUGGAAUACUUGGUGUAGCAGUGAAAUGCGUAGAUAUCAAGUGGAACACCAGUGGCGAAGGCGAGUCCCUGGACAAUUCCUGACACUGAGGCACGAAAGCUAGGGGAGCAAACAGG
rnacentral:rRNA from 1 species